ACCGAGGUGGCUCAGUUGGUUGAGCAUCUGACUUCAGCUCAGAUGAUCCCACAGUU
rnacentral:tRNA from 1 species